rnacentral:rRNA from 1 species
CCCCUAGAUGUUCUGGGCCGCACGCGCGCUACACUGAACAGUUCAACAAGUCUUAACCUUGGCCGAUAGGUCUGGGUAAUCUUUGAACGCUGUUCGUGAUUGGGAUAGACCUUUGCAAUUAUGGGUCUUCAACGAGGAAUUCCUAGUAAACGCAAGUCAUCAGCUUGCAUUGAUUACGUCCCUGCCCUUUGUACACACCGCCCGUCGCACCUACCGAUUGUGUGUUCCGUUGAGAUGAUUGGAUUGUUUUUUAUUUCUCUCACGAGUUAUUUAAGACGAAAAAUUCAGCAAAACUUGACACAUAGAGGAAGGUGAAGUCGUANCA